rnacentral:rRNA from 1 species
GACGUAGGGCGCGAGCGUUGUCCGGAUUUAUUGGGCGUAAAGAGCUCGUAGGCGGCUUGUCGCGUCGUUCGUGAAAACCCGGGGCUCAACUCCGGGCUUGCGGGCGAUACGGGCAGGCUAGAGUUCGGUAGGGGAGACUGGAAUUCCUGGUGUAGCGGUGAAAUGCGCAGAUAUCAGGAGGAACACCGGUGGCGAAGGCGGGUCUCUGGACAGUUCCUGACGCUGAGGCACGAAGGUCAGGGGAGCAAACGGG